AGGAGAUGGAAGAAGGGGAAGGAAGGAAGGAAGGAAGGAAGGAAGGAAGGAAUGAAGGAGAGAGGAAGGGAGAAAGGCAGGAAGAAAGGAAUGAGAGAAGAAGCUAGGGAAGGAAGGAAAGAGGGAGGGAGAUCAGAAAGGAGGAAGGGACCACCUGUCCCAUAGGAAGCUUUUUAGGGCUUUAAAACAGGCUGGCAAACAUUGCUUUUGUUCACCCCAUCUUUCAUUGUGUUUUAUUUUAUUUAUUUGUUUGUUUGUUUUGAGACAGAAUCUCACUCUCUAACUCAAGUUUGUCUCAAACUCAGGGCGAUUCUCCAGUCUCAGCCUCCUAAAUGCUAGGGUUACAGUGGGAGGCACCACUUUGUGUGUGUUUACAGUGAUUGCUAUUUUGUGAGCAUUUGCCUAUAGGCAUGCAUGUGUACCACACGUGUACCCUCAGAGCCCAGCAGAGGGCAUUGAGUUCCUGGGGUACUGAAGUAACAGAAGCUACUGAGCCAACCUUCUGGAUGGAACCCAGACAGGUGCCAUACAGAUGCAGCCAGUGCUCAUAACCUCUGAGUGACGACAAAUCUCUCCAGCAUUGUUCCCUGUGUUUUUAUCCAUGUUAACAUGAGGUAUUAAAACACCAGACGUUGGGCUUUAACUGUUAGCAUCUGUCUUCACCUGUAAAAUGAACGGGGCGACCACAACUCUGCAGUCAGCAGCUCUCUCAACUUCUAAAAGCUUAGUUAGUCUAAGACUGCCUGGUGGGAACCCCCUAGGUAAAUCCUGUGUACCCAGCUUCAGCUGCAAUUGUCCCCCACCCCUUUCUUCCUCCCAGCCACUGAGCACUUUCAUCAUUCCUAUUGCUAGACUGAAAACCGUGAUUUUGAACUAAGUUAUGUAGAACUUCAGUCACUAUCCGAACAGCUGGGUUGGAGCUUGUAUUUCUUCUCAGCCUUUCUAGAAAGCUACACGGAUGUUGACAGGGUACCUGAGACACAGUUCAAAUCCAAGGUCAGUUGCGUCUGUUUUGCCCUGUUACCUGUGCUGUUCAAAGAUGCUCUGAAAUAUCAGCUGCUUAUUGUUCAGUCACCUGGGCUGGUGACGGCUGUUCUUAGGCCUCUGUCAGAGUCACCACCAUAGUGUGGGUGCCUCCCAGGGGCUCACAGGCUGAAAGCCUGGUCUCCACGGUGGUGGCUUUGAUGUGGUGAGAACUUGGGGACUGUGGCCAUGUGGAGGGGUCAUGGUACCAUUACCUACAGAAGGGACUAGUUUUCAUAGGCCUGAGCUAUCUCUAUCCAAGAGCUGUUAUAAAAGAACAGUGCCAAUCACCACCACCUCUCUGCCUUCCUGGUAAGUGACUGCUCUGGAAUGUGCUUCUGCUGUUAUGAUGACAUCAGAGGCCCAUAGGAACCAAGCAACGACGUCACCAUGCCGUUAAAUUUCUGAAACAGCCAGAUAAAUAAACCUCUAUUGUUCUCAU
rnacentral:lncRNA from 1 species